rnacentral:lncRNA from 1 species
CUUGUGAGUAUACUUUGAGUGUUGCUAUACGGUGCGGGUUUCUGUCAGCACUAUACCGAAAUUCAGUCAGAAGUACGGUUAUUUUGAGGUAAGGGGUAUUAUUUUCUUCUUAAAUGAUAUUUUUUUCUUCAAUAUCAUUAUGCCGAAGUAUUGGUGAACUUUUUUAUCAAAUUUGGAACUUGUUGUGUCAGGGUUACUAUUCACGUAUACGACACUAUUCACGUAUACGACACUAUUCACGAAUACGGCACUAUUCACCGAAAAAAUAAAAAUUUUUCGUUUUGUCCAAAAUAUCUAUUCUGGAUACUAGUUUUGAUUGUAUCCAUGUUUUGAUCUUUCUUGAAUUUUACACCAAUAUGAUUAUUUUUGAAGUAUUUUUGGACUUGGGUAAAACAAAGUACGAAUCCUUAAUCCUUAAUCCUUGUCAUUUUGUUUCACUGGAUUCGUUUCUUUAAAAAUGUUUUUCAUCAUCCUCAGUCCUAAAUGGUGAUAUAAAUGAAUAUCUUUGGCCUGUAGUGCAAAGAUGAACGAUUAACUGAUGAAUAUCUUUGGCCUGUAGUGCAAAGAUGAACAGGUGUUGAGAUGAACAUGACCAACUGGUGAUACAAAUGAAUAUCUUUGGCCUGUAGUGCAAAGAUGAUUAAAGAUGUAUAUUGAUUGUUAUUACAGGGAUAAACUAUUGAUGAUGGACUUUUAAACCUUAGAAGACAGUAGAAUUCUUUCUCUACGUGACUCUUCUAAUGGAUUGCUGUUUCCGC